UUAUCAACUAUCUUCAAUUUAUCUACUGUGCCUUUGCCGACAACGAGGCCAUGUCUACUAUCGCUGUCAUUGUGCUGAUCUUGAUGCUGGUGUACCUAUUCCUAAUUCUCGGAACAAUUGCAGCUAGCUUCUUUUGCCCGUCUCUGUCAUCGAUAUCGAAGUCACUUGGAUUAAGUGACAACGUUGCAGGUGUGACUUUCCUUGCAUUCGGUAAUGGAGCUCCCGACAUAUUUGCAUGCAUAGCAG